rnacentral:rRNA from 1 species
GACGUAGGGCGCAAGCGUUGUCCGGAUUUAUUGGGCUUAAAGAGCUCGUAGGCGGCCUGUCGCGUCGACCGUGAAAACCCGCAGCUCAACUGCGGGCUUGCGGUCGAUACGGGCAGGCUGGAGUUCGGUAGGGGAGACUGGAAUUCCUGGUGUAGCGGUGAAAUGCGCAGAUAUCAGGAGGAACACCGGUGGCGAAGGCGGGUCUCUGGGCCGAUACUGACGCUGAGGAGCGAAAGCGUGGGGAGCGAACAGG